rnacentral:tRNA from 1 species
GCCCGGCUAGCUCAGUCGGUAGAAAAUGAGACUCUUAAUCCCUGGGUCGUGGGUUAGAUGCCCACGUUGGGUG